UUUCCGUAGGUGAACCUGCGGAAGGAUCAUUACAGAAUUCCUGCCCUCUGGGUAGAAUUCCCAUCCUUUGACUACUAUGUCAUUGUUGCUUUGGCGGGCUUCGCCGCCCGCCAGAGGCCACUUACACUCUGAAUGUUUGUAACGUCUAAGUCAUAUGAAAAUUAUGAAAACUUUCAACAACGGAUCUCUUGGUUCUGGCAUCGAUCAAGAACGCAGC
rnacentral:misc_RNA from 1 species